rnacentral:misc_RNA from 1 species
AAAUGCGAUAAGUAAUGUUAAUUGCAGAAUUCAGUGAAUCAUCGAAUCUUUGAACGCACCUUGCGCUCCUUGGUAUUCCUUGGAGCAUGCCUGUUUGAGUAUCAUGAAAUCUUCAAAGUAAAUCUUUUGUUAACUCAAUUGGUUUCUACUUUGGUAUUGGAGGUCUUUGCAGCUUCACACCUGCUCCUCUUUGUUCAUUAGCUGGAUCUCAGUGUUAUGCUUGGUUCCACUCGGCGUGAUAAGUUAUCUAUCGCUGAGGACACUGUAAAAGGUGGCCAAGGUAAAUGCAGAUGAACCGCUUCUAAUAGUCCAUUGACUUGGACAAUACUUUUAUGAUCUGAUCUCAAAUCAGGUAGGACUACCCGCUGAACUUAAGC